UACGUAGGGGGCAAGCGUUGUCCGGAUUCAUUGGGCGUAAAGAGCGCGUAGGCGGCCUGGUAGGUCGGUUGUGAAAACUGGGGGCUCAACCUUCAGAGGUCGACCGAAACCAUCUGGCUAGAGUCCGGGAGAGGAGAGUGGAAUUCCUGGUGUAGCGGUGAAAUGCGCAGAUAUCAGGAAGAACACCCGUGGCGAAAGCGGCUCUCUGGACCGGUACUGACACUGAGACGCGAAAGCGUGGGGAGCAAACAGG
rnacentral:rRNA from 1 species